CUACGUGCCAGCAGCCGCGGUAAUACGUAGGUCCCGAGCGUUGUCCGGAUUUAUUGGGCGUAAAGCGAGCGCAGGCGGUUAGAUAAGUCUGAAGUUAAAGGCUGUGGCUUAACCAUAGUAUGCUUUGGAAACUGUUUAACUUGAGUGCAGAAGGGGAGAGUGGAAUUCCAUGUGUAGCGGUGAAAUGCGUAGAUAUAUGGAGGAACACCGGUGGCGAAAGCGGCUCUCUGGUCUGUAACUGACGCUGAGGCUCGAAAGCGUGGGGAGCAAACAGGAUUAGAUACCCUGGUAGUCCACGCCGUAAACGAUGAGUGCUAGGUGUUAGGCCCUUUCCGGGGCUUAGUGCCGCAGCUAACGCAUUAAGCACUCCGCCUGGGGAGUACGACCGCAAGGUUAAAACUCAAAUGAAUUGACGGGGGCCCGCACAAGCGGUGGAGCAUGUGGUUUAAUUCGAUGCAACGCGAAGAACCUUACCUACUCUUGACAUCCAGAGAACAUUC
rnacentral:rRNA from 1 species